UCCCAAGUGGUCUAGUUGUUAGGAUCCACGCUCUCACCGUGGCGACCGGGGUUAGAUUCCCCGCUAAGGAA
rnacentral:tRNA from 1 species